GACGAACGCUGGCGGCGUGCUUAACACAUGCAAGUCGAACGGAAAGGCCCUGCUUUUGUGGGGUGCUCGAGUGGCGAACGGGUGAGUAACACGUGAGUAACCUGCCCUUGACUUUGGGAUAACUUCAGGAAACUGGGGCUAAUACCGGAUAUGAGCUCCUGCUGCAUGGUGGGGGUUGGAAAGUUUCGGCGGUUGGGGAUGGACUCGCGGCUUAUCAGCUUGUUGGUGGGGUAGUGGCUUACCAAGGCUUUGACGGGUAGCCGGCCUGAGAGGGUGACCGGCCACAUUGGGACUGAGAUACGGCCCAGACUCCUACGGGAGGCAGCAGUGGGGAAGAUUGAACAAUGGGCGGAAGCCUGAUGCAGCAACGCCGCGUGCGGGAUGACGGCCUUCGGGUUGUAAACCGCUUUCGCCUGUGACGAAGCGUGAGUGACGGUAAUGGGUAAAGAAGCACCGGCUAACUAAGUG
rnacentral:rRNA from 1 species